rnacentral:rRNA from 1 species
UACGUAGGGUGCGAGCGUUGUCCGGAAUUAUUGGGCGUAAAGAGCUCGUAGGCGGUGUGUCACGUCGGCCGUGAAAACCUGCAGCUUAACUGUGGGCGUGCGGUCGAUACGGGCAUCACUGGAGUUCGGCAGGGGAGACUGGAAUUCCUGGUGUAGCGGUGAAAUGCGCAGAUAUCAGGAGGAACACCGGUGGCGAAGGCGGGUCUCUGGGCUGGUACUGACGCUGAGGAGCGAAAGCGUGGGUAGCAAACAGG